rnacentral:rRNA from 1 species
UACGUAGGGUGCGAGCGUUAAUCGGAAUUACUGGGCGUAAAGCGUGCGCAGGCGGUUUUUUAAGCCAGGUGUGAAAUCCCCGGGCUCAACCUGGGAAUGGCAUUUGGGACUGCAAGGCUUGAGUGCGGCAGAGGAGACUGGAAUUCCUGGUGUAGCAGUGAAAUGCGUAGAUAUCAGGAGGAAUACCGAUGGCGAAGGCAGGUCUCUGGGCCGAUACUGACGCUGAGGAGCGAAAGCGUGGGGAGCAAACAGG